ACUCAAAGGAAUAGACGGGGGCCCGCACAAGCGGCGGAGCGUGCGGUUUAAUUCGACGCAACGCGCAGAACCUUACCAGGGCUUGACAUGGCGCUGCAGAGCCGGGAAACCGGUUGGCCUUCGAGGGUGCGUCACAGGUGCUGCAUGGCUGUCGUCAGCUCGUGUCGUGAGAUGUUGGGUUAAGUCCCGCAACGAGCGCAACCCUCGCGACCAGUUACGUGGAUGUCUGGUCGGACUGCCGGUAGCAAGCCGGAGGAAGGCGGGGAUGAUGUCAAGUCAGCAUGGCCCUUACGUCCUGGGCUACACGCACGCUACAAUGGGGAGGACAACGGGUAGCCAAACCGCGAGGUGGAGCGAAUCCCCACGAAACCUCUCCUCAGUUCAGAUUGUGGGCUGCAACUCGCCCGCAUGAAGGUGGAGUCGCUAGUAACCGCCGGUCAGCAAUACGGCGGUGAAUACGUUCCCGGGCCUUGCACACACCGCCCGU
rnacentral:rRNA from 1 species